AAGAAACCACUACCUGAGAGAUGUGUGAAGAUGAAUCCGACUCGUCAACUUUAACCUGCUUUUCUCACCCGAAACAAAGUUACACAUCAACAGUAAGUUAGUCAUUUCUGUUCUUGCUUUGUCAUCUUCACUUGUUAUAAAGACUCCAUGUAGAAGACGCUGCAUUUGCACAUACAAUGACAGGGGCUUUAAGAGAGCUGGCAAGAAGCCCUGUGCUUGUUGCAGCCAUUUUCAUAGCUGGAAUAGGAGGAACCUUUCAAUAUGGCUUCCAUAUCUCUGUCCUUAACUCUCCAUCAAUUUUUAUUAAAGAGCUGGUGAACAGCACCUGCCAGCAGCGUUAUGGCCGCUCUCUGGAGCCCUGGGAGAUGUCUCUCAUCUGGUCCUUCAUUGUGUCCAUAUAUUGCAUGGGAGGGCUGGCUGGAACCCUGUUUGCUGGACAUCUGGCAGGCGUGUAUGGAAGGAAGACAACUCUGCUUUUGAACAAUGUGGUGGCAAUCUGUGGAGCUGUCCUGAUGUUGUUGAGUAAAACCGCCCUCUCGUUUGAGAUGAUCAUGGUGGCACGUGUCCUAUACGGCAUCAACGCUGGUGUGAGUUUGACUGUCCACACCAUGUAUAUAUUGGAGUGCGCCCCCAAGAGGCUGCGUGGGAUGGUUGGUGUGUCUGUGGCCUCUUUUGUCUCAAUCGGGAAGCUUUUUGGCCAGCUGCUCGGGAUCAGUGAGGUGUUAGGCACUGAGGAGCGCUGGAUCUGGCUGCUGGCAUUCAGCGGGGCGGCUGGUCUCCUGCAGCUAGUAACUCUGCCCUUUCUCCCAGAGUCCCCGCGGUACCUCCUGCUGGAGAAGGCAGACAAACACGGCUGUGAGACGGCUCUGCGCAGGUUGUGGGGAGCUAAAAAGGACCCUGGACCAGAGAUGGAGGAGAUGUUGGCUGAACAUGCUUCCCUAAAGGGCGUGAAGGUCCACAGGCUCAUGGACCUCUUCCUCGACCACAACGUCCGCUGGCAGCUCCUCACCAUCCUCGUCACGUUCGUCACGCUGCAGCUCUGCGGCAUCAAUGCUAUCUAUCUAUAUUCGUUUGAUGUGUUUCAAGCUGCUGGUAUCGCCGAGGAGAACCUGCGCUAUGCCGCCCUGGGGACGGGUCUGUGUGAAGUCUCCACCUCUAUUGCCUGUGUGCUGAUCAUCGAGAGCACCGGGAAGAGAUUGCUUCUCUUUAGGGGUUACCUGUGCAUGGCCGGCUCACUGGCCCUGCUCACACUUACACUUUACCUUCAGGACUUUGUAUCCUGGAUGCCAUACUGCAGCAUGGUCCUUAUUUUCAUCUACAUCAUCUUCUUCUCUAGCGGGCCAGCCGGGGUGACAGCACCACUUCCUGGUGAGAUUUUCACACAGUCCUAUAAACCUCCAGCGUUCAUGGUAGCCUGCAUCCUUAAUUGGACAGGACUCUUCCUGGUGGGCAUGUUGUUUCCGCUCAUAGUGGCAGACUUCUUUGAUUUGCCAUGGAAGGAUGACACAAUGUCACAACCGCUGAAGGCAUGGAAGAAGAGGAUACCACGUGUUUUCUCUGGUCCUAUGGCUGAAACCACCUCAUGUAUAUGGAUCCAUCUUGUCUUCUCUCCUUUGCCAAACGUCACCCACAUUUUCUCCAGGCCAAGUUGCAUCAAAGACGGCAUAACAGAAGUGGCUAUGAUUAAAAUGUCUGUGUCAUUGGCAUCAAUCAUCAGGGAUUUGUGUCCUUGUUCCACUGCAUGCUGGGCAUGAAGGAAAAUACGCGUGUUUGCCUCUUCAUGACUACACGGGGCUACUGCAUCCAGGAAGCUUUGCCAGUUUGACGGAGUUUUGCCUGUGCCUGUUACUCUCCUUCUGAUUGCUUUUCCCCGUUUUGACCUUGCCUCAGACUUCAGACUGGACUUCCAGUAAACAUCGAACACAAUGUCCGUCCGCCUGAGCAUUUGGAUUAUUUCUGCUUCCUCGUAUUUUUUGUGUUCUGCUUCUUCUCUGGUGUUUUCGUGUGGUUCCACGUGCCUGAGACAAAGAAUAAAACUGUUCUGGAGAUCGCAGAGGACUUUAAGAGAAUGCAC